UCCCCCGGCCCUGCUCCCCCGGCCCUGCUCCCACACUGGGACCAUGGCAGCUCCACGCCGCGGGAAGCAGCCACAUCUGCUUCUCCAUGCCGCUGCUCUCUGAAGGCAAUGCUGGGCUCCAGUGCCACUUCUUCCCCAGAAACCAGAGGUAGGCCCGCUGCAGAACUUGUUCGACAUGAACAUCAGCCACUGAAAGGGCCACGAACGAGGGGGGAAGGAACGGGGCGUGGGAAAGAGCUUCGGGAGCCCACACUGAGGUGUCAGGCAUGUGCCCGCCAUCCCCUGGGCCUUUGCUCCACUGCUGGCAGCAAGGGCUGGCAGCGUGAGAGGGGCCAUUUGUGGCAUUUAUUUAAAUACUUGACAACAAGGCAUGGUACAUAAAAGGACCACUAAAUUUUAAUUUUUUCCCCUCAGCUGUGACAAUUCAGGAGUUAUGCCUGUCAAGUUGCUCUUGGGUAGAGCUGGUUGAACUCAAUGGAGUGUUUUCAGUCAGCAAAUGUUGAUUAAUACCAAAAUGUUUGUGGGAAUUUUUCUGUGUCAGGAAAGUUCCAAUUAAGAACCUCCCUGGUUUCCUGUCAGUUUGCUUGGCUCCGCGGCUGCCUCGCUGGUGGGCUGCUGCAGAGCUGGGCCUCCAGCAGGUCUGGUUCGUGGUGCUUUGACAGGCUGCUAGGAGAGAUGCCUGGGACUUCUGGGAGCUGGAGAGGUGGGACUAGAGCUACCCACAGAAUUUCGUUCAGUUUAUUCUUGAGUGUUACGAAAAUGUGACAACUGUGGAAAAAAAUUAGUAUCUAAUGUUUUCCAUUAGGAUGUAAAUCUGUUUCUUAUAAAAAGUUGCUGUUCUUUGUGAUAAAAAUGCCACUUCUUCUUCAGGUCUGUUUCCCAGAUCAGUUAAAGCAGCCAGCAUCUGUCUGACUGCUGCACCAUCUCUGUUGACACAAUUGUAUUCUUAGGAAACUCCUUUCAGCUGUUGAUAAGGGUUUGAACAAAGGAGGUGUCUGGAACUAGUUAGAGCAGGAUUUCUACCACUUCAAAGUCCAUUACCUGGUGGGAUGAUGAAAAUCGAAUUGAGAACAUUCAUAGGAACUCUUCUCUGUAAAAAUUUGAAUAUAGUUGUUUGUGAGAGCUGCUGUUCCACAGUGAAAAAAUCAGUGCCCACGGUAUGGGACCAGAAUGAAUAAUUACCUGCCAGUCUUCUAUGAGUUCAAAAACUUCUGUCAUGUGUCCUAGAAUAAUGACUACAUAUGUAAUGUACUUUGUUACUAAAUGUUUACCUCCAUUUAACGAUUUAAUGUUAAUUUUGUACUAACCAUAAGAAUUCUAUAAAAAAAUCCAUGGGUUAAGUUUCUAUCAGUACUGUUUAGCUCGUAUUCUAGAGAAAUAUAUAUCUAUAUAGAAAACUUGUGUUGCUAACCUUAAAAUGGUUCAUUACAGGAAAUUGCACUCUAAACCAUGUAGCUUCUCAACCCAAACUGGUUCUUUUUGUCAUCAAGCCCUUAUUCAUGCAAUUUCUAAAACUGCAAAAUUAGGAUGGCUUGAUGUACUGAAAAAUCUUCAAAGAUAUUAUUGCUGAUGAAAAAAAAAAAAGUAUUGGAAGUAAGAAACAAUUGUUCACUUCUGCCUUUUUUGUUGUUGUUGUCUUUUUUUGUUUGGACCUCUUAAUUCAUAGUUAUUGGAAUGUUAUGUUUCUUGAUUUGAUACUGGGAUGGAAAAAGUGUGAAGUGCAUUGCUUGAGACAGAUUGUCUGUUGAGGAAGGACCAGGGUGGGUUUGCUGCCUAUGUGAGGUUGUGGGGUUUGAUGCCUCACAGAAUUCAUAGUGCUGUCUUGGCUUUUUCUCGGUUUUCUUUUUCAGAUCACUCCUUUAUAGUGUGGUUGUGAAACAACAGCCCUUGUUGUCAAGCCAUUCUGUUUAAUGCCUUCAUUUUUCAUCAGCUCCUAUAGAAACACAUUCUUGAUACAUGUCUAUGUGAAGGUUCAGCCUUUCUCAACUUCUGAUGAGAAAAAGCAAUGGGAAAUUUUAAGUUAUUUGGCAAUUUACUUGCAGGAUGAUCCAUUACGUGUGUAUGUGCUGGUGAUCCUGGUAACUCAGCAAGGAAAUACAAAGUUAGCAGUUUUUGUUUCUUGCCAGAUGUGAAAUGUAAAAGGCAGACAGGGCACCAACGUCACUUUUGCCUGAGAGCUCCCCUAAAUUGUCUCUCCUCACAUGCUUUGGUGUGGGUAACAGGACAAACCAGAGGACAGUGAGAGGUCAGGCCCCUUGGGCAUUGUGGACCACUGUGUAACAGGAAUGGUUCUCUCAGAACUGACUCAGGAAAUGGAUCUGGUUGAUUAUUCAAGACCUUCAGCAAAGCCUUGUAAAAGAGUUUCCUCAUUUCGUGACACCUCUCUGAAGGACAUUCUGCUGCUUGUGUGCUCUUUUGAAGGAGAGUUUUCCAGAUGAUCUCUUUGAUGGAUGCCCAGUUACCCCAGUAAAAAAAAUGAAGACAUAGAACUGGCAGUUCUGUGAUUCUUGGAUCAGAGUGUGAGAGCCCAUCUUCAGCACAGCUCAAAGAGUUAUUUACAAGUAUUUGUGUGGAAAGGGCAGUCUUGGCCUGAUGAAAUGUUCAUGGAGCAGCAGCAUGUACAGAAAACUUUGCCUCUUUUGUCAAGCUGUUGUCACCUGAGCAGCAAUGCAUCGCUUCCACUCCAGAAGAGAGAGAGUCAGUGGAGCUGAGCUUCUAAGGACUCCUUCCUUCAGAGCAGCAGUCAUGUCCAGAAACCUUUUGGGUUUUAAGAAAAAAGGUGAGAAACCUUUUGGAGUUUGAGAUAGAAAUGAGGCUUCAGCUACUUCCCCUGUUUUGUAAUUCCUUUGAUCUGGAAACUUUCCAGAUGCAUGAAGUAACCAGAUUUCUCAAUCAAAUUUUAAAUUCUUUUUAUUUGGGCUACCCUUGGCUUCACAUGACUUAUGUAGUCACUGUCUGGGGGUGUCAGAUGGAGUGAACAUCCACAUUGCUGUAAAGGGCUUCAUGAGGAAUAAAGGGAAAAGCCUCCUCUGAGGCAGGUGAGAUGUCACACCUACUUCCUUCCUUUUGCACCCGUGUGACAAUAACUGUACCAGGAAAGGUCUGCACAGAAAUCCCUGCAGAAACUACAUUUUGCUCAGUCAAGGACAGAGCUUCCAGCAAGCGCUCCUGUUUCUAUUUGGAUGGCAGUGCCUGGCUCAUCCAAACAUUUUGAUAAUACUUGGACCGUGAUCUUUUUUCUUUUCCUUUCCUGCUAAAUAUUUGAACCAUUUGCACUUUUCAUCCCAUAUUAUUGUGCCAUUAGGAAAAGCAGUAAAGCGUUUUUGAAUGUCAAGUUUAAGUGGAAAAAUAAUUUAAAAAUAAUAAAAUACAGAGACUACUUUUGCUUAUGUGAUUGGCUUUGGUGUUGAAAAGCCAAAGAGCACACAGGUAUGGUGUUAGAGGAUACCAGACAGUGUUUUUUUCUCCAGGAAGAGGAAAAUGAACCCAUUGGCUCUCAAUUGCUCCCCUUUUUUUGUGUUGCACAAUAAAUUAGCAUCUUUCUGCGAGAUCUUGUGGCAAACCCACCUACCUUGGGUCAUUCUCCGCCUCAGGGAAUAUUUGGCUUGUCACCUGCAGUUCUGGGAGCACUCAUAAAGGCUCAGGUGAGAGGUCAGUGCUGUUAGGAGCUUUCCAUCCAGGUAAGAUGAGACAUGAGAGAUGAGCAGCUUCCCUUUAGGAGUCUGCAGUAGGGCUGGUACAAAUAUUUUGAAGAAGUCUGAUUCUUCAGAAGCUUUCAAGGUGCUGACAUUAGUUUAUUUUUUUAAGGCCAAACUGCUUAGGCUAGAAGGUCUUCAAGGUGAUAGAGACUUGCUCUAACUGCACAGGCUUUGCAGCUGCCUUCAGUUUAUACAGUCCCCUGCAUAAGUUAUUUCUGGGUGUCAUGGCACCGUGGCUGAAUUUAGUGCAGUACCAGGACUGCUUUGUAAAGCUGCCAGUACCCUUGGAAGUUCAGGUGAUCUCCUGAACUACUGGGAUUUUAAGGAAAUUCAUACUUUGCAAAGUAAAUCUAAUGAUUAGUAUUUAUUAGUAAUUGUGAUGGUCCUUUAAAAAAUAGUUUUAGUUGUACAUGCUGUGAAAUCCUUUAUUUGUUUCCUUUACAAAGAAAUCAAUCCAUCAGUGCCGUCUGUUGGGAAGCACAGGCUGUGUGAGAGGCAGAGGGGGCACAAGAGAGCGAGCAGGACUGGCUGGGAUGGACCGGGGUGGGAGGGCUCUUGCUGAACACACAGUGAAUAAUCAAAUACCUGUUUGUUUGGUGUUGUAUAAAGAUUUAAUUGCAGGAAUGCUUCCAACCUGCCCCCAUGAACUCUUAGAUGCUGAAUGAUACGAAGUUAUUUCUAGCAGUGCACAAACCUGUCAAGUGGGACAGGUCUGUGGCAUGGGGAAGUGUUUCUGUCACCAACCCUGGGUUACUUUUUGCAGUUCAACUUUGUUUCAGUUUGCCUUUUGCUCUCCUGCUGUGCCAGUAAGUGAACACUUGUGCAAAUCCAUCGCUUCUGCUCAGCUCUGGAGGGCCAGGGGGAGCAGAAGCCGGUGGGUAGAGGUUGCUUGUGCUGCAGUUUCCACACACGCUUGGUGGCAUUUAGCUUCCUGCUUGCCUUGACACUGCUUUGGCCCAAAACAUGAGGGAUAUAUUUUUGAGAAAUGCACGUUUCAUUUUUAAGCAUUCUUAAUCUUAAUAGUUAUGACAAAUUUUUAAAAUAUGUGCAUUUGAGACGGCAUUAAUAAUUCAUGAGUGUUUCAUUAAGAAAAAGAACAAACUGUCUAUAGGGCCAUUAAGUUCUUACUUGGCUAAGAUCAUCAAAAUUUAGAUGACCUAAAAUGGUACCUUGUUGGGGUCAUAAUAUGCUGCUUGAAAAAAAAUACCCUGUGAUUUAGUUUUGAUUCUGACAAUACUCAAAAGGAUUUGUUAUAUCUUACAGACCUUUCUGCAAACUACUAAUGGGAUGAACACAAUAUAUCACUUUUAUAAUAGUGAGCUAUUAAAGGCAAACAUAAAGCAGUCUGAAGCCCAUAAGUGCUGCCAACAGCUCCUGCUUUAAUGAAUUCCCUUUUAGAUGUCCAUUAAAUGCUCAUGGCAAAUGUACUCAUAAUGGAAAUGGCAAAUCUAAAUGGGUAGAUAUGAAUAAUCCAUGGAGUUUAAAUUCUGUUUAUGAUCAUCUUCACAUUUAGUUUUCAAGACAACGCAGUUUAGUUUUCAUUACAGUUUGGAAUAAAGAGGACAGGGAGUAAUUGAUUGCUUCAAGCAGAUUAAAAUCAAUGGGUUGCUUUUCAAAGAACCCGUUCGAUGCAGUAAUUUCAACUUUAAACAUUGAUUUAGGGAACUCAACACAAAAUGUUUUGUGCCGUGUGAACUUUUAUGUGUAAAGACUAAUACUAAUUUUAUUUCUAUAUAUCUGUAUAUAGAAAUAUAUAGAGGUUGUUAUCAGUAUGUGCAUGAGUAAACAGUGAUCUAUAGUAAGUUAUUUUGGUAUUAUUGCACUCAUGUAAUGAAUCAAUGAGAUUCCCGUCAUCAUUGGGAUACUGUUUGUAAACCAUUAGCACACAGAAAUUACAGCCCAUCAUACAUCAUUACUGUGAUUGAGGCUUUAUUACCAUAUUCUCAAAUUGCUUGCUUGCUAUAAAACUAAAUAGACACCAGACAACUAUAGGUAGACGAUAGACUGUGCAUUAUUGGGCUGGAGUAAUGAAGGAUUAUUGUAGCAUAAUGGGGCACAACUUAUGAGGAAAAUAAACUUGGCAGCAAAGGAAAGCUUGAGUGUUUUUAAUGCUUGUUGUUACUGCUUUAAAGGUCAAAUAUAUUUGUUAUGAUCGAGUUACUGUUUCCUUAUUUCAUGAAUCAUACACUUUUGGUGUUCCAUAUAGGCUUUGUUUUAUUUUUAAGCAUUUAAAACACAGGAAUUGCACUGCACCUUUCAGCUCCAGAGGUGAAUUUGCAGCUCUGGGGCAGUGCUGUGGCUGUCAAGGUGCUGGGAUGGGGGAGAGCCCUUGCUCUGCACACAUUGCUUUUCUUCUGGACAGAGGCAGGGAGGGAAAACUGCAUCAACAGACAUUAACAGCUGUUAAAUGUGAUGUAAGUUCUCCAAACACACUGAGGCAAAGUAUACAUUAGGAAUUUGGGGAGCUAUAGUGAAAGUAUUUAUGAUACCCUCAUUUUAAAAGAUGAGAGGACACACUGAAUUUCCACUUGGGGAAUUUAGUAAUCUCCUGCACAGGAUAUGUUCAAGGUGUUACUUUCUCUGGCUACAGAAAAAAGUGUUUUAGAAAUUUCAGCUUAAGGCUUCUGACCAUGAGACAUGCAGACAGGGAGGCAUUUCUUCGUACUCACGUGAGAUUUCAGAGACAGUAAGACCUUUUAUGAUGGCAAAGAGGUGUCAACAUCCUCCGUCCUUUUUACUUGCCUCCUCAAAAGGAUCCAAACCUCCACACCCUUCUAAACUUUUGCUGUCUGUACCAUCUUUCAUCAGUGUUAGAUUCUUCUCUUCUGGAGUUUUUAGAAUAUUACAGCAAAUUGUGGUAACUUCUGUAUGUUAGUAAGGUAGGAACUUGUUGUUUCUGCCAGUUUUGUUUAGCUGAAUUUUUGCGUGAGCAAGGGUUGUAAACCCUUGACAUGCUGACGUGUUGGGAGAGCAGACUCCUUAGGGCUUGGCUGUCUACAGGCAGAGAUUGCUGAAGAAGGUAACAGACAGUGUUAAAACUUCCGUAAGUUGUUAAAAAGAAUCUGUAAGUUGAUGUACUGCUUUGUACCUUAAAAUUCCAGUUUAAAUAAUAGUGAUAUUCCAUGGGGUUUUUUUGCAUGAAAGCUUCUGGAGUUCUUAAUGGGGAUGAGUGAAACCAUCAGGAUAGAGUACUCAAUUGCUGAGAGGCAGUGAGCAACUUGAUGUGCAUUCACUUUUGCCAGGGGUUUGAAAACACAUGCUUUUUCAUAAAGUACAUUUGACCUUUCUUUGCCUUCCAUUUGGCAUGAAUUCACAUUUCAUUUCAGUUCUGAAAGUAGAGGCAAUAUCUGUAAACCACAACACCUCGUUAUGCACCGGUCCAAAUAGGAGGUAAGGACAGGGGAGGAAAUUAUUGUUUCGUUAUAUUUUAUAGAUAUUUGACAAUACAUGUGUAUUACUAUAUUUUUAACAAGGAUAUAAACAAUAAGAGCAUUCCAGGCUGAGAAACGGUCGAAACAUAUUGCUGAUAUUCAGUCUAGACUCAAAAUGCUGCUUCUCAGGAGUAGAAUGUGUCAGAUCUGGAAAACUCGUAGAGCUUUUGUCAGAGUUUGCUGUGAAUGCCUCUCUCGUGGGCUCAGGAGAGCUGCUGCAGCUGGGAACCCUCCUCAGUUCCCUCCAUUAGACAAGGAACUUCCUUGGCUCGAGGAAAAACCCUUUGAAGUGAUAAUGAUGUAAUGUACCAAUAGAAGAUUUCAUGAUUCCAUUAUCUCCGUGAUGGCAUUGGUUUGGAGAGAGCUUCCCCUUUGUCCUUUCAUCAGGAAUUGGUUUGUUCAGUGCUCAGUGAGUCAGUUCUGGUUUCUUCAAAGAGAGAUAUCUGAGUGUUGUGGAGUAAUCAUUGUUAGGCAAAGUUCUUCUCUUGAGUUUAAGACAGCUGUAAUUAAAAACAUCUCACCAGUUGGGUUUUAAUAGACACAAUUACCACAGCAAAUAUGUUCAGCCGUUAGGUUUGAAGAAUAUAUUUCUAUUAACGUCUAGGCAGAUCUUCUAUAUAGUUGCAGAAAUUGUCUCUAUGAUAUGUUGAUACUACUUUUACAUAAUAAUGCCUUACAUAUUCUAGAGUGCUGCAUAAAGCCACUCAUUUUUAUUUGUGUUAAGUCUCUUCAUGUAUAUUUGGUAAUGCUUAUAGAGAUGUGUUUUCAUUUAAUCACUAGAA